GGGUCGGUACCGAAGUGGUCAAACGGGGCGGACUGUAAAUCCGCUGGCAUCGCCUUCGAUGGUUCGAAUCCAUCCCGGCCCA
rnacentral:tRNA from 1 species